CUACGGGGUGCAGCAGUGGGGAAUAUUGCACAAUGGGGGAAACCCUGAUGCAGUCAUGCCGCGUGUGUGAAGAAGGCCUGCGGGUUGUAAAGCACUUUCAGUGGGGAGGAAGGCGGUAGCGUUAACAACGCUAUCGAUUGACGUUACCCGCAGAGGAAGCAGCGGCACACUCUGUGCCAGCAGCCGCGGUAAUAUGGAGGGGGCAAGCGUUAAUCGGAAUUACUGGGCGUAAAGCGUAUGCAGGCGGUCUGUUAAGUCAGAUGUGAAAUCCCCAAGCUUAACUUGGGAACUGCAUUUGAAACUGGCAGGCUAGAGUCUCGUAGAGGGGGGUAGAAUUCCAGGUGUAGCGGUGAAAUGCGUAGCGAUCUGGAGGAAUACCGGUGGCGAAGGCGGCCCCCUGGACGAAAACUGACGCUCAGGUACGAAAGCGUGGGGAGCAAACAGGAUUAGAUACCCCGGUAGUC
rnacentral:rRNA from 1 species